GAUCAUGGCUCAGGAUGAACGCUAGCGGCAGGCUUAACACAUGCAAGUCGGAGGGGCAGCAUAAUGGAUAGCAAUAUCUAUGGUGGCGACCGGCGCACGGGUGCGUAACGCGUAUGCAACCUACCUUUAACGAGGGGGAUAACACUGAGAAAUUGGUACUAAUACCCCAUAACAUCAUGAAAGGCAUCUUUUAUGGUUGAAAAUUCCGAUGGUUAGAGAUGGGCAUGCGUUGUUA
rnacentral:rRNA from 1 species